rnacentral:rRNA from 1 species
UCGAGAAUCUUCCGCAAUGGACGAAAGUCUGACGGAGCGACGCCGCGUGGUUGAUGAAGUCCUUAGGGACGUAAAAACCUUUUAUGUGGGAGAAAGUCAUUGAUAGUACCACAUGAAUAAGGGGUUGCUAAACUCGUGCCAGCAGCAGCGGUAAUACGAGUGCCCCAAGCGUUGUCCGGAAUUAUUGGGCGUAAAGGGUGUGUAGGUGGUUUUGUUAGUCUUUUGUUAAAGCUCCCGGCUUAACCGGGAAUCUGCAAAAGAAACGGCAAGACUGGAGGGUGCAAGAGGUGUACAGAACUCAUGGUGUAGGGGUGAAAUCCGUUGAUAUCAUGGGGAAUACCAAAAGCGAAGGCAGUACACUGGUGCAUUCCUGACACUGAAACACGAAAGCGUGGGUAGCGAAUGGG